rnacentral:rRNA from 1 species
GGGAUUAGAUACCCCACUAUGCUUAGCCCUAAACUUAGAUGUUAAACUCACAAACAACAUCCGCCAGGGUACUACAAGCGCUAGCUUAAAACCCAAAGGACUUGACGGUGUCUCAGACCCACCUAGAGGAGCCUGUUCUAGAACCGAUAAUCCCCGUUAAACCUCACCACCCCUUGUUCUCUCCGCCUAUAUACCGCCGUCGCAAGCUUACCCUGUGAAGGCCCCAUAGUAAGCAAAAUGGGUAAAUCCCAAAACGUCAGGUCGAGGUGUAGCUUACGAGGUGGGAAGAAAUGGGCUACAUUUUCUAUAUCAGAAUAAUACGAACGACACCAUGAAACUGGUGCCCGAAGGUGGAUUUAGUAGUAAAAAACAAAUAGAGAGUCUUUUUGAACCAGGCUCUGAGACGCGCACACACCGCCC